UAUAAUAAAGACGUAUGUGAUUAGUAGACAUCAUAAUAUACGGUAAAGAAUAUGAAAGCAAUAAAAGCUAAGUAUAUGAAAUUAUGAUGUAUAGGAACAAAGAAAGAAAAAGGAACAAGGCUAUUCAAGGCACAAGAAACGUAAGACCCCGGUAAAUUUCAUGCUUAGAAUGGCGAGCUCGGAUUCGAACACACCACAUCAUCCAUAUAUGCACUUCCGGUUCAAGUUAUCUUUUGAAAUGGGUCAAAUAAUUUUUGUAAUGUAAAUGUAAAUUUUACGUUUUAGGAUGUUCGUAAGUAGUUUGAAUUUUAAAACCUUUUUUAGUAGUUCGGACAUAA